UGACACCAAAUCCUUGAGUUGAGGAGAGAUUGCUACAAGAUUGAUCCGGAUAGUCUUCCUGGAAGCCAUAACCUGUUCAACAGAGCAAAGCUAAAUUCCUAAGUCCUUGAAAUGGUUAGUAUGAUGAUGUUAUGAUGUUAUGAUGUUAUGAUGUUAUGCAAGCACAAGCAUGUCACACAACAAUUAUUCCUAGGUUUUAAGGCUUGCAUGAGUUCCAUAGGUAAGUACCCUCCCCACUGAAGUUUGGUUGGUUCAACCUGUCCUAGAAUAGUAACCGGGUUCUAGAAGGAUCUCAGAUCAUCGACCUUUCUUUAGGUCCACUUCAGUGCAACACCAAGUGGUUGACCGAAGCUUUCCUAAAGUCCAAUCUCAAAGAGUGUAGCAUCGAGUAUCAACCAACCUCAGUCGGAACCGAAGUCAGUUAUCUCACUACUUUCUAAUGGCUAGGAUAAGUCAAUUAGGGUUCUAAAGGUCUGGUUAAUGCUUUGAUGACACCACGCGGAAGCCAAAUUUUUUCUCAAGUAACAUGAGGAACAUUAGGACAACCAAAGUGUCACAUUAACCGUAGCUAUCAUUUUAACCAUUCCAGUAUACGUCGGAUAGUCGCGAUGAUCUAUUGCUACUUACCUAAGGUACACUAGAUCCGGGUGUAGGAUCUUUCACUCAAAGCCCCCCUUAAAAGAAGGAAAACAUAAAUGAUAUUUUUUUUUUUUAAGAUGGACCUCUCUUUUUAGUCCCCAGCAGAGUCGCCAGUUCUGUCAUACGGUGAACUGGAC
rnacentral:lncRNA from 1 species